rnacentral:rRNA from 1 species
UACGUAGGGUGCGAGCGUUGUCCGGAAUUAUUGGGCGUAAAGAGCUCGUAGGCGGUUUGUCGCGUCGGCCGUGAAAACUUGGGGCUUAACCCCAAGCCUGCGGUCGAUACGGGCAGACUUGAGUUCGGCAGGGGAGACUGGAAUUCCUGGUGUAGCGGUGAAAUGCGCAGAUAUCAGGAGGAACACCAAUGGCGAAGGCAGCUCGCUGGAACGGAACUGACGCUGAGGCGCGAAAGCGUGGGGAGCGAACAGG